rnacentral:rRNA from 1 species
CAGUCGAGGGGUAUCAGGAAGAAGCUUGCUUUCUUUGCUGGCGACCCGCGCACGGGUGAGUAACACGUAUCCAACCUGCCCUUUACUCGGGGAUAGCCUUUCGAAAGAAAGAUUAAUACCCGAUGGGAUAAUCAUUCCGCAUGGUCUGAUUAUUAAAGGAUUCCGGUAAAGGAUGGGGAUGCGUUCCAUUAGGUUGUUGGUGAGGUAACGGCUCACCAAGCCUUCGAUGGAUAGGGGUUCUGAGAGGAAGGUCCCCCACAUUGGAACUGAGACACGGUCCAAACUCCUACGGGAGGCAGCAGUGAGGAAUAUUGGUCAAUGGGCGCGAGCCUGAACCAGCCAAGUAGCGUGAAGGAUGACUGCCCUAUGGGUUGUAAACUUCUUUUAUAUUAGAAUAAAGUGCAGUAUGUAUACUGUUUUGUAUGUAUAAUAUGAAUAAGGAUCGGCUAACUCCGUGCCAGCAGCCGCGGUAAUACGGAGGAUCCGAGCGUUAUCCGGAUUUAUUGGGUUUAAAGGGAGCGUAGGUGGACUGGUAAGUCAGUUGUGAAAGUUUGCGGCUCAACCGUAAAAUUGCAGUUGAUACUGUCAGUCUUGAGUACAGUAGAGGUGGGCGGAAUUCGUGGUGUAGCGGUGAAAUGCUUAGAUAUCACGAAGAACUCCGAUUGCGAAGGCAGCUCACUGGACUGCAACUGACACUGAUGCUCGAAGGUGUGGGUAUCAAACAGGAUUAGAUACCCUGGUAGUCCACACAGUAAACGAUGAAUACUCGCUGUU